UACGAAGGGUGCGAGCGUUGUCCGGAAUCACUGGGCGUAAAGGGCGCGUAGGCGGCUCCAUAAGCGGGCGGUGAAAGCCCGGGGCUCAACCCCGGGUCGGCCGUGCGGACUGUGGGGCUGGAGCACUGUAGAGGCGGGUGGAAUUCCGGGUGUAGCAGUGAAAUGCGUAGAGAUCGUAAGGAAGGCCAGUGGCGAAGGCGAGUUCCUGGACAGUUACUGACGCUGAGGCACGAAGGCCAGGGGAGCAAACGGG
rnacentral:rRNA from 1 species